rnacentral:rRNA from 1 species
CCUACGGGCGGCUGCAGUGGGGAAUUUUGCGCAAUGCUCGUAAGAGUGACGCAGCGACGCCGCGUGAAUGACGAAGGCCUUCGGGUCGUAAAGUUCUUUCGACAGGGAAGAAAAUGCCUAUAAGUAACUGUGUAAGUAUUGAUGGCACCUGUAUAAGCAGCCGCGGCUAACUCCGUGCCAGCAGCCGCGGUAAUACGGAGGGGGCGAGUGUUGUUCGGAGUGAGUGGGCGUAAAGAGAACGUAGGCGGUGUUUUAAGUCAUUAGUCAAAGACUAGAGCUCAACUUUAGUAAGGCUAGUGAUACUAUAAUCCUCGAGUAUCAGAGAGGAUGGCAGAAUUCCUGGUGUAGCGGUGAAAUGCGUAGAUAUCAGGAGGAAUACCGUUAGCGAAGGCGGCUAUCUGGCUGGAAACUGACGCUGAGGUGCGAAAGCGUGGGUAGCAAACAGGAUUAGAUACCCUUGUAGUC